ensembl:lncRNA
CCUGAUGUUUCUCUCCUUUCUCUGUUCUUUAAGGAGUCUUCAGGCAUGGCAACACACAGACAGCCACGCAUCCACCCACCACCAGGGAAUGAGGGAGCUGGAAGCUCUGGGACAAGGAGGUGGUGUAAAGACUAAAUAGAAGGUGAGUAAGGUAAGGUUGGAAGUGCCAUGGCAGGGAGGACACAAGGAGGGGUAGGCUGGGCAGGGAGGCGAUGUGGGUAGGGUGGGUUGGGUCUCCAGAUUGGGUUGGGAGCCACGCUGAUGUUCCUCAGGAUCUAAAUCCAGCGCUGCUGGCAUGGGGAGGCCUGAGGGCGCCUGGCCAAGGAGGUGGAAGAGACAGACCUGGAUGAAAACAAGCUGAAAUACAGCGUGUUGAGGCAAGGCUGUGAGAGAGACCCACAACUGCCUUAAGGACCUGCAAACCAGUGAGAUUUCUGAGUUAACAAUUUCUCUGCUGCCACCAGGUGCCUGCGGAGGUCACUGGAAAUUAGCAUGUCCACACCCCAGGAGAGCUCUGACAACCUACUCAGACCACUCUUUGCUUCUCCUUGCUCAGAUGCAGAAGGCUGGCAAUGGUGUAGGCAGUGGAGAUCAAGAUGAUUUGCUGCCACUUCUCAUUAGUUAGUGCCAUCCACCCUGUGUGUUGAGACACAGAAAAAUGUACUGCUUGUUAAUGGCAUUCAGGGCCUGUGUGUCCCUGGGAGUUGUACUUGCAAGGUCUAAAAUUAAACAGCAUGGAUGAUUUUAGUUCUGGGUUUCUUCAGCAGUAUUUUGGGAGAAACCUUAAUAUCCGGUUUUGAACAAGAUUUCUGUGCCUAAUUUCCUGCCUUUACUUCCCUACCACACUCUUUCUGCUGGCUACUUGAGUGGAAAUAUUUCGUCCUGGACUUCCUCCUUCCAACUGUGCCACUCUGCUUUGGAGUAUGAUGGAUUCUCCCUUCUCAGCACCCGAGUCCAGCAAGAAGCAGGAGCAGGGCGGAGGAGACAAGGCAGAGAUGGAAAGCCUAAUCUGUUGCCAAGACCCAUUAUCCUUCGACUUGAGUCAAACAGUGCACCUUGCUUAUUGAAUCAGGGAAUAGUGUGUGUUUUAUGAAGACAGAAAGGAAAAGUUGUUAUUCUCAUGUGAGAAAAAGAAGGAGGAGAAGAAAAAGUGGCCCAUUCCUAUUUGUGAAGCUCUUGCCCCUCAUAAAUCACAGGACUCUGCACUACAGUGAGCAGCUCUGACUGCAAAGUGCUGUAAGUAAUGUAAAAGAUAUGUUAAGAGAAGUGCAUACUUUUCAGGUUUUGUACAUUUCAAAAAC